AUACGUAUGUCGCAAGCGUUAUCCGGAAUUAUUGGGCGUAAAGCGAGUCUAGGCGGCUUGUUAAGUCAGAUGUGAAAAUGCGGGGCUCAACUCCGUAUUGCGUUUGAAACUGGCAGGCUAGAGUACUGGAGAGGUGGGCGGAACUACAAGUGUAGAGGUGAAAUUCGUAGAUAUUUGUAGGAAUGCCGAUAGUGAAGACAGCUCACUGGACAGAUACUGACGCUAAAGCUCGAAAGCGUGGGGAGCGAACAGGAUUAGAAACCCCGGUAGUCC
rnacentral:rRNA from 1 species